rnacentral:ncRNA from 2 species
GCCAACACAUAUGGAACCGGUUCUCAUUUCUGAUGAGAUUAAUAGGGAAGACGGUGUAAAUCCGUCGCGGUCCCGCCGCUGUAACCGGGGACGAAAGCCGCAUUAAGCCCUUGCAAGGGCUUCAAGCCACUGCGCACUGCGUGGGAAGGCGCGGCGAGUAGAACGAUCCGGAAGCCAGAAGACCUGCCGAUUCCAAGGAGUACUG